CUGGACUGGAAGUAGUUUUCUCCCUAUGAAUUUUCAAUAUGAUGAUACAAUGCAGAAAAGAGAAUCAACAAAUGAAGCACCAUAUGGAUAACCUGGUGCUUUAUGAGAAACAUUAAAAAGGUGACUGUUGCAGAUUACUAAUCUGACAAGCUUGGCAAGAUAGCAAAACAUUCAUUUGGAUUUUCUUCUGUUUGAUUUGAACAGUAGAUGAUGAGAGGAAGAGUAACUGCCUAUUUAUUAAAUUUCAAAUUGUUGUCCCCUUUUAUUGAGAGAUCAUUCAAAUAGUUUUAUUUGAACCGUC